GUUUGAUUUCCUUCUGUGCUCAGGACACCAUUAAUCCACUAUAACUUUGCAUAGCAAAUAUUUGUUUGCUGCUAUAUUCAUGUUCUUAACGUUCAGUACAGAACCUUUAAGGCAUCAUCCAUUAUACUAAGGGAGCUGUUGUUUUUUAACAGUAGAUGCAGUACUGUACGUGGGCAUAUUUUCUCUAUUACUCAUUCUGUAUGUUACCUAGAAAACAUAUUCUAAAUCAUAGAUGAUUUGGCAAGCUUGCAAAUGCAUUACACAGUUUCAGUACAAUUUUAAUUGUCUCUGAAUAACUGAAAUAAAGUCAGUCUAACAUUUCAGUAUUUGUUAGAACUACCUCACUUGAUGCUGAACGGUGUGCGGUGAAAUGUCCUGGUGGCAAUGCUUGUUUU